AGCAUUAUUUAUGACUAUAAAUAUUUUGUAUGAAAUGCAUACAUCAUUGCUUUGGAACCAGUAUAGAUCCGAUAAAACAAGAUUUCCUAUUAGGCGGCAAUAGGAACUGUGUGAUCACUAGUUAAGUUCAAAAAUCUGCAGUGCUCCGUUUGAUCAGAAUUUUGAAGACGUCUUUCUCGUUCGUUUGUUAGAUGUGAGGUUAACUCGGUGAAAAUAUAUCUCAAGACCUGUAUCUAAGAGUUAACUCGGUGGAAUUAUCCUGAGACUCAUCUCGAUCGUUGGAUGUGAGAAGUAGUACGACUUAAUGAUAGGUAAAACGGAGCAAUGUGAAAUGUUUUGGGCUUAAAGAAGGAAGAAUUCAAGUAUCGGAAAAGAAGCGAGUCGAAAAGCGAAGAAACGAGCGAGAUAUGGCUGAGAAAAGGAAGGGCUCGAUCGAGCCCUUCACUUACCAAGAGGGGCUAACAAAUGUCUCCAGGGAUUUUCUCAAGGCUUAAGGCUCGAUCGAUCCCUCACUCUUAAGUGGAUGGCUCGAUCGAGCCCUAUAAAAAUAGGCUCAUAAUUUGAAUUUCAAGACAAGACAAGACUCAAGGCUCAAUUCCACUUUUGGCCCAACACUCUUUUAGUGGGUGUCUUUUGUUUCCUCUUUCGUAACCCAUAUAAAUAGCACUUUAUCUCAUUUUAGGUCAUAAACAACAUUUAUGAGCUUUUGAAUAUUCUCUUA